UUUUUUUUUUUUUUUUGGUUAAAUACUAAGCAAGUUUCAUUCUACACUUGAACUUUACCAACAUAACUUAAUUUAAGUUAUGAUAAUAAUAAAUUUCGUAAAAGUUAUACAUAAAACAUGGAAUGAUAAAUAUAAUUAAAAUAUCAUAAUUCACCACAAGGUUUCAUAAAUUCAUUAUAAACAUAAAUAGAUACAAUCCAAAUGUUCACCAAUUAUCACAAAUAAAAACACAAAAAAUAAAUAAAUUAAAUAUUGUAAUUCUAAAACAACCCUUAACAAAAUCCAUAAAAGAGUUCAAGUUAAGACAAACCAUUUGAAUAGCAAACUUUUAUAAGUGGCAUGAUAAGUAACCACACCACCUUCACAAUUUAAUCAACUUAAGCUGAAAAAGUUAAAAUUUUAUUAUAAAAAUAUAAAUCUAAUUGCUCAAACUAAAAAAAAACUAAAAAUUUUUGAAAAACAAAUAUACAGUUAAACACAUAAAAAAUUAAUUGCUACUAAACAUUACUAAUUAACAUGUUAUAUUAAAUUCAAUGAUCCUAUACCAUUAAUUAUUUUAAAUUCAAUUAUCAAUAGCUUUGAUUAUGUGCCAACUACCAUAUUUUUUACCAGCCCAAUGUUAUUAUUUGUAAUUCCUACCCAAUUCCUACAUGGAUGUGCACUACUUUUGCAAAAAUUUCAUCCUUAAUUAAUCAAAUAAAAAUAAAACAAAAAAUGAGGGAAACAUAUGAAAAUUGAGGGGAAAAAGAAGAAAAUGCAAAAAAAUCAACUAAAGAUAAUAAUAUAGAAAAAAAAAGCCUUGAAAAGAAAAAAAAUUAAACUUACCAAGAUGUUGGAAAACAAGAAAAGUUGAAAUUUUCAACUUGUUUACAAUCUGCUAAAGAUAAUAACCUGAUAAUAAUGGUGAAGACUUGAGAAAAUCUUGUUGUGGAUAUUUGGGUUAAAAAUGGUUAAGAAGAAAAAAUUGAAAAAAAAAAUAAGAGAAGAACUUGAUGUUUUAAUAUAUUUUUUAGUCAAGUAGAAUUCUCAACAAACUUAACUACAGUCUAGUGGUAAGAUUGUCACAUGCAAAUCCUGAGACUCAGGUUCAAAUCAUGGCUACACCAUUCUUGAUAUUUUAUAUUUUGUUGAAAAAUUUAAAAAACUGCCGGUUCACGGUUCACACGGUUCGUCCGGGUUUCAACGGUUCUCCAUGAACUUCCGGCUUUAGCAUUAGACCGGACCGGUGACAUGGCCGGUCACCGGUUCGCGGUCCAACCGGUCGAACCGGCCGGUCCGGUCCGGUUCUAAAAACACUGCCUGUAGACGUGAUGUGUCAUUUGUGAUUCAUGCUAGGGAUAGCAAAAAAUACGUGCCGACUCGAAAAUUUGUAAUAUUCGAUCUCAUUUAAUCCAUAAUAUAGGAUACUAGAUCCGUAUUAUUUUAUCAUGUCAAAAGAUGAUCAGCUACUCGCUUAUAUAUGGGAUAGGUUAGGAUCACAAAAUUAAGAACUCACGAGUACCCGAUCUGCUCCACACACACACACAUAUAUAUAUAUCUAUUUAGUUUUUCAUUUUUACAUAUACUACAAAAUAAUACUUUUAGAGCGAAUUAACUAAUUUCAUCAAGCAAUUUGCUCUCAAAAAAUAUGAGAGAUUAUUUGUUUAUAAGCUUUAUUUGUAUGGGUUAUUAUCUUAUAUUUUUAAUAAAAGAGGUUAAGUGAUGUAGAAUAUAUAUAUAUAUAUAUAUAUAUGAAAAAAUGGUACCACUUAUAUCAAUUUUCAUUGAUUUUGAAUUCUUUUAACUGUUUCCCUUUCUCUUGUAUUCUCUUUGUAUGUCUAUUUUUUGGGAUGAGAUUUUUUUUUUAAAUAAAAUUUGUGUUGAAUCUUAGAUGAAUACAUAAAAUACAAAAUUAAAUUAGUAUAGAUCAUUUAUUUAAAGAUUAAAUCAUAAGCAGGGCAGGGCAAUGAAUACCGCUGACACGCAGCACGAAUAAGAACCGGAAAAUUGCUGACUAAUUAGAUGGGGACCGAGUCGACCAAAUGCUCAAAGGAACGGGUAAUUGACCCAUGCCCACCCCUAAUUCAUACCUAUAAGCUCAAUAUGCAGGCGACUUCUAUGGAUAUUAUAUUAUCAACGCAAAAAUCAUGAUUUGUUAGCAUGUGAAUAAUAGCUGGUUAUUGCAUGCUGUAGACAACAUUCUUUUUUUUUUUUUUUAAUUUAUUCCCCCUUCAAAUGCAAGUUGUGUUAUGAAAUUUGGGAUGCUUAGUAGUUUGAUUCUUUGAUGGAUUCAUGGAAUAAUGGCAGAUACCUGAUGCGUUUCAGCAACCAAAGGACAAAAAUUGCAUCCAAGCAGCAACGAUGCUUAACACUGUAUUGGUUUUCCUAUAGAACAGAUAUACAAAUGCACUUCUAUCCUUCCCAAUCAAGGUAAGAAACAAAAAAAUUUUGUAUUUCUUAUGCAGAACGAUUACACUGAAAACUAACACCAAGAGAUGAAUCGAGCAGCUGUUUCCAAUGUAUGCCAGUAUUUGUUGCAGCUCCAAGAAGUCUGCACUUCAG
rnacentral:lncRNA from 1 species